rnacentral:rRNA from 1 species
AGAGUUUGAUCAUGGCUCAGGAUGAACGCUAGCGGCAGGCUUAAUACAUGCAAGGCGAGGGGGCAGCAAUGUCACCGUCGUACGGGUGCGUAACGCGUAUGCAACCUACCUUCAACUGGGGGAUAGCCCGGGGAAACCCGGAUUAAUACCGCAUAAUACAGGGGGCUCACAUGAGUCUAUUUGUUAAAGAUUUAUUGGUUGAAGAUGGGCAUGCGUUCGAUUAGCUAGUUGGCAGGGUAACGGCCUACCAAGGCGACGAUCGAUAGGGGAGCUGAGAGGUUGAUCCCCCACACGGGCACUGAGAUACGGGCCCGACUCCUACGGGAGGCAGCAGUAGGGAAUAUUGGGCAAUGGAUGCAAGUCUGACCCAGCCAUGCCGCGUGCCGGAUGAAGGCCCUCAGGGUUGUAAACGGCUUUUAUUCGGGAAGAAGAGCAGGGAUGCGUCCUUGUGUGACGGUACCGAAGAAUAGCAUCGGC